AAUGAGAAUGGACAGCAUAAAAUGACUAUUGUAAAAAAGGAGAACUGGCUAUUUUAAGGAAGGUGGCCAUUUUUUUCAUGAAGACACUGCAGACAAUGGUUGUACAUAGAGUCAUCACUAUGGUAUUUAAUAGGAAUUACAAAUAGGGAACAAUAAUGCCUGGGUUGUUCUAUUGUGGUACCUGCAGUGCACCAAUGUAGGGGUCACCACUGUGUU